GCGAACGGGUGAGGAAUGUACAGGAAUCUACCUAGCAGUAAGGAAUAACCUUGGGAAACCAAAGCUAAUGCCAUAUAUUACCGAUUUAUCGGGAAAGAUUUAUCGCUGUUAGAUGAGCCUGUAUCGGAUUAGCUAGUUGGUGGGGUAAAGGCCUACCAAGGCAAUGAUCUGUAGCUGGUCUGAGAGGAUGAUCAGCCACACUGGGACUGCGACACGGCCCAGACUCC
rnacentral:rRNA from 1 species